rnacentral:lncRNA from 1 species
UCUGCGAUGCAGAAAGGGGUGCGGGUUGCAAAGGGAGUAGCCUCUGUUUUUUUGUUACUUAAGCAUGGGAAGUUGGAGUUUUCCUUUUGAUUCAUUUCUAGGAAGUCGGUGCAAACUGGCCCUGCCUCCAGACCCUAUUCUCCAGCAUGAAUUGCAUCUCAUCAAUGUCAUUUUCACUUUUGAUGAUGAAGGCUGAUUACCUUGUAGAGAGAGAAGUCAUAGGGAUGUUAUGUCCAUGGAGCGUGGCCUUAAGUGGACCUAUUUCUUGGGGUCUCCAGAUCUGUUUGGAACUUCAAAAUUAUUCAAGAAAAGGUGUCUCAUCAGCAGAAGACUGAACAGUUUUACCUAAUGGUAUCUUGAGUAGAAAUGUAACCUAGAAGAGUUUAUUGAAAAUCCUCCUGGCUGAUGCUUAUUUCUUGGAAUCCUGAGUCUUACACUUGCUACCUAAUAAAAAGAAGGAAGAUUCUUCUCAGCAAGGUGAGAAAACAGGCUGAGAGAAGUUGGAAGAAACACAGGAGCAGGGAUCCCACAUUAGACAGUCUGAUUCCAGAGAUCAGGACCUUGGCUGCAACACUAUAUGGGCUCUGGGAAAUCCAAGAGGCCUGUUUUCACCUGCACAGCAUUUCUACCUGCCCAUGAAAGGCAGACUUACGCACUUUGAUGUCAAAGACCAACCAGAAAGCCAAUAAGAAGUGAGAAAUCCUGUCUCCGUAGCCAAAAUCUCAUAUAAUUCCUCCCCAGCAAUACAGAAGUCUCUCUGUUGCUACCUAGAGUAAAAAUGUCAAUACACAUCAUGUAUUAAAAUUCACCUGUAUUUUCUCAACACCUUUUCGAUAUCUUUCCAAAUUGCUUUAGUAAUCUCUGGCAUCAAGAACUGGUAAGAGUAUGUGGCAUUUUCCUUCCUGUUUGAGUAACACCUAUUAAGAGAGGUGGCAAUUAAAAUCAAAUUGUAAUUUUUAAACCUUAAGGGAAGCUAUUGCAGUAUUGCUAAGAACAUUCAGUUACCGGUAUGUUAGCUAACACCUACACCCGCUGCGAUUAGCGAUGAAACAAACUUCUACGGACCUUAAAAAACCAAACGUCUCCUUUAAAAUAAUCAUCCUAUGAGUAAACAGUCCUGUUCACACAUGUAUAUGAGAUGUCAUCCUUUCUUUGCCGUUACAGCGCUCCGCCUUGCCAAUGCUGCUGAGCACUGACUCACUCACAGGGCAUUUGGAAGGUGGGCGAUUUGUUCCUGCAGCAUCAUUGCACUCCAAAUGUGCUGAGAAUGGAUGUAGCCUCCAAUGCUGCCGUGCCAGCAGCAGCUUAGAUCAGAGGGAUCAGCAGAGGCUAUUGUCCAUUCCUCAGCAAUGCACUUGACCUUGAGAGCUAUAUAGAAUGGAAGGAAACCCACUAAAGCCAAAUUCAUGUCCUAAGAUUUAUAUCCUUUUUAGGGAUCCCACCCCUGGAACGUAAUUCAGGUCCAAAUCCUCUUCUUCUCCUUUCCAACUGCCACUGCCUUAGAGUAGUGGACUUAUCUCCACCUGCACAUUUUAGAGUCACUUGGGGCAAGGCAGGGGGCAGACGUUAAAACAUACCAGUGUCAAGGUACCAUCCCAGAGACUCUAAAUUAAUUAGUCUGUGUUGUGCCUGAAAUGAGUACUUUUUAAUACCUCCCUAGGUAUUUCUAAAGUACAGCUAGGACUGGAAACCACUGGAGUCCAGCACAAGCCUUUCUCAUUUCUUUCCUGGUUUAUGGCAAAUGCCUCCUGAAUGCCCUUCAUCUUUUGUGCCUGAGGCUAAUCACCUUUAAUGUGUUAUAAUGAUUGAAUUAUUUUUGUAUUAAUCCAUGUUUGAUGUAGAAAAAUGAGAAAA